UAGGGAAUCUUCCGCAAUGGGCGAAAGCUUGACGGAGCAACGCCGCGUGAGUGAUGAAGGUCUUCGGAUCGUAAAACUCUGUUAUUAGGGAAGAACAAAUGUGUAAGUAACUAUGCACGUCUUGACGGUACCUAAUCAGAAAGCCACGGCUAACUACGUGCCAGCAGCCGCGGUAAUACGUAGGUGGCAAGCGUUUUCCGGAAUUAUUGGGCGUAAAGCGCGCGUAGGCGGUUUUUUAAGUCUGAUGUGAAAGCCCACGGCUCAACCGUGGAGGGUCAUUGGAAACUGGAAAACUUGAGUGCAGAAGAGGAAAGUGGAAUUCCAUGUGUAGCUGUGAAAUGCGCAGAGAUAUGGAGGAACACCAGUGGCGAAGGCGACUUUCUGGUCUGUAACUGACGCUGAUGUGCGAAAGCGUGGGGAUCAAACAGG
rnacentral:rRNA from 1 species